rnacentral:rRNA from 1 species
GUGCCAGCAGCCGCGGUAAUACGUAGGGUGCGAGCGUUAAUCGGAAUUACUGGGCGUAAAGCGUGCGCAGGCGGCUUUGCAAGACAGAGGUGAAAUCCCCGGGCUCAACCUGGGAACUGCCUUUGUGACUGCAAGGCUAGAGUACGGCAGAGGGGGAUGGAAUUCCGCGUGUAGCAGUGAAAUGCGUAGAUAUGCGGAGGAACACCGAUGGCGAAGGCAAUCCCCUGGGCCUGUACUGACGCUCAUGCACGAAAGCGUGGGGAGCAAACAGGAUU